rnacentral:lncRNA from 1 species
UAGAGUGACUCUGGUGUGACAAAGAGAACUCUAGAGAUUUUUUUCCUCUCCUUGCAUGGGGGAGAUGUCAGGUUUUCGAGUGUGGAGUUCCUCUCUCUAUACUGGGAGAUGCUGUGCAUAGAUUUUCUCAAAUUUCCUUGGGACAAAGCAAAGUGAGAAAAUCUCUUUAAGGUGUACUUUGGUCCUCCAUGCCAUGGAUGUCUGACACAAAAUUUAUACAGCAUGCACAUUGGCCACACUACAAUAAAACCAUCUCAGGAGGAAGCCUAAAUCAUUUUGGGAAUAUAGACAGACCUUAAAGCCAUCAGCUAAUUAAGGAGAUGUCUAUUCCAAGCAUGUGAAAAGUGUCCCAGUGGAAUGAGAACCAUUUGUUCCAAUAACCAUGGAGAUGGCAGAAGUAGGCAUUGUGGAGCACCUAGAGCUUAGUCAGACAUUAAGGAUGCCAAGAUCGUCCACUAUAUCCCAAGCCAUCAGCUGUCAUUCUGAUUUUGUCUUGCCACUGGACUUCUGGACAAGGGAGUGAGACUAAUGACUUUGUGCAAUUCUGCCUCACUUAAAUCCAUUUCAUGUACAAGUCAAGACAUCAUUCAUGAUGGUAUUGGUCAUCUUUGAAGAGGGAGGAUAAACAAUAACAACCUUCCCCAAAGGAUUCAGCAACUAUUCUCUCUAGAAAGUCUACUGGAGUAAAGGGCCUUGGGCAACAUAGGCAAACUUCAUCUCAUCAGGAGCAAAGUGCCCGAGAUCAGACAUGAUCAUUUCUUCUACACCAACAUUCUUGACAUUCUCUAAAAGAGGAGCUUUGCUUCAGGAAGUCUCCCUUUCUGCCCCCACAUCCUUACCCUGGAAACAAUCUUGUGGCUUAGAAGGCAAAACAGAGGCCCAGAGACGGGGCUUGUCUUAAAAGAAGCACACAAAGUUCAUUGAGAAGAAUACCAGGAAGGCCAUCCUGCUCUCAAAUAUCUCCCCCAUAGGUCUGAAAUUUACGUAUUAAAUUCAUUUCUUUAAAUCACCUCGUUCCGUCUCCCAAGGUCAUUAAUUAAAUAAGCCUGUAUUAAA